UCUCUCACAAAAACCUGUGGUUUGAAACCUACCAAAGCCAGACAGCUAUGUAAAGCUUGUCUUGUGAGCACGUGAGCAUGUGAGAAAAGUGAAAAUCGGAGCACAAAGAAAAGAGUAAAUUGAAUCAUUCCUCCCAAAGCAAUAUUAACUUCAGCAUGUUACAAUAGUAAGCAAUGUUUACAUUAGUUCAAUACCUAAUUCCAUUAGCUACAGUUACACUGGUCCAUUCUGAGGGGUGCUGGGGGAUUUUCCCAGAUAGAGCACUGCUGUCAUCCCUUCCCCUAUUGCCUUGGCAGCACAUGUUUGAGUUUAAGAUCAACUCUGUUGUUCAUGGGCUGCCCCAUGGAUCAGAGGCUGAUGAGGAUGCUGGUGCAGGACAGUAGCCCCCGCACACAUCCAACAGGCAUGACCAGAACUGUGUGACCAACAAAGUGCUCAUUGCUGCUGUCAGCUCCAGCAUCAACCGGCACACAAAGCUUAAAGGGUUCUUUGACAGGCCUCAGAUCAUACUGAAAUCCUUUCACUUAGCUCUGCUUUGCCCCUGUCCUGCUGCUGCUGAAGUCCAUAGCACAAGUGCUCUGCCCUCAGUUGUGCUGGAGUAUGUGUCCUGCUUGGUCAAAAAAAGGAGUAAGCUGUGAUGGUGCAUAAAAGGCAAGUGGAAAGAGGCGCUUCUGUGACCUACUCAUGGGAAGAGGCAGGCAUCAUCUGGAUGCUUCAGAGGAUCAUCUUGGGAGAUGAUAACUCUUUUCCUACCAUCAGUCAAUGUCUGUAACCACCUGCUUUUGGAGGAAAAUGCCAGGAUGAUGUCACCCGAAGGCCGUAGCAGCUAUUUUGAGACUAGGAAAAAGUUGACUUGGAAGACUUGCUCCUCUUGCUGUGCAGGCACUGAGCCAAGAAGAGCUGGAUGCAGACGGAGCCCAGCUGAAGCCAGAGCAGCUCAUCAAGCUGAAAGUCUAUUAUUCACCCUGCUCUGGUUGCCUAUAGCAUCUGGAUGCUAUCAGCAUGGACAGCAGAGCAGCCCUGUCACAGAGGAUUAAUGGCAGAGUGUGGUGUUGCUUCUGGAACAGUAAUGUCAUACCAUAUGAAUAAACACCGAAAUUGGGAUAAUUUUUCUAAAUGUUUCAGCAUUCUAAGUACAAGGUAAUAACCCUGUCAGGAACAAUAUUCACUGCUGUCUCAUCUGGCUGUGCUGGAAUUAGUGGCAGUCUCUGGGGAAGAACACAGGUACGUCAGUGUUGGAAACACAGCAUGUGGUUGUAUUAGAGCAGAAAGCAAACAAAUCUCUUGGUCACAGUACAGGGAGAGAAACUUAAUACUGCUUGGAAAAUCAGCACUGCUUUGAAUAUAGCAUUUUUCUUGGUUCCCUCAUGAGAAGGAUAAUGCAAAAAUGGGGGAUAGAUGUACAGAUGUAUAUUUAUUAGUAUAUCAGAGAAAAUGUGUUGUAGAAUUCAGCAGAAGAUGAAAACCAGAGUCUGUGAAAUCAAGAAUUAGGGCAGGAACAAACAGCGGACAGUGAGGAAAGUCUUACUGAGUACUCUCUGCCUUAAUACAAAAUCAAGGAGGAGCAAAGCCUUGAUGAAGGAUGAGACUUCACCUCAAAAAAAAAAAAAAAAAAUAGAAAUAAUUCUGAGGCAUUACAGGGGUGAGGGGAGGCUGCUCAGCCAUUUUUCUGAUUUGUUAAACAAUUUGCCUCGAGGUUUCCAUGAGUGUUCAUUUUUAGAGGCGCCAGCCAAAAGACGUUUGAUGCUGAAAAAACUAAAAAAAUCUAGCUCUUCCUAGCUGCCCCAAAGUCAUUGCUUAGAGCAUUUAAAUUUUGGAAAUGUCAGGUUGAGACACUUGCAUAGAAAAAAUAAAUGCACAAUUACA